AUUGAACGCUGGCGGCAGGCUUAACACAUGCAAGUCGAGCGGGGUGAUGGUGCUUGCACUAUCACUUAGCGGCGGACGGGUGAGUAAUGCUUAGGAAUCUGCCUAUUAGUGGGGGACAACAUCUCGAACGGGAUGCUAAUACCGCAUACGUCCUACGGGAGAAAGCAGGGGAUCACUUGUGACCUUGCGCUAAUAGAUGAGCCUAAGUCGGAUUAGCUAGUUGGUGGGGUAAAGGCCUACCAAGGCGACGAUCUGUAGCGGGUCUGAGAGGAUGAUCCGCCACACUGGGACGGAGACACGGCCCAGACUCCUACGGGAGGCAGCAGUGGGGAAUAUUGGACAAUGGGGGGAACCCUGAUCCAGCCAUGCCGCGUGUGUGAAGAAGGCCUUAUGGUUGUAAAGCACUUUAAGCGAGGAGGAGGCUCUUUUGGUUAAUACCCAAGAUGAGUGGACGUUACUCGCAGAAUAAGCACCGGCUAACUCUGUGCCAGCAGCCGCAGUAA
rnacentral:rRNA from 1 species